UUGAAAGUCAUCAUAAGGUUGAAAGUCUCCUUUCUCUGAAUUUAUGAAUUGUCACAACAUGGUGAAAGCAUAAUCAUUUAAAGCACUACUAAUUGUAUCAGUUCUGGAGAAUGAUGUAAAGUUCCAUCAUACAGAAUGCACUACUAAUUGUAUCAUUGAUGAUGCAAAUGACAGUAUAGGUGAAGGAAGAAGACAAACUUCAUUCCAAAUAGCAUGCUAAAACAUUUAAAGCGUUCCUACCGCUGCUGCUAUAGAUUUGUCCUUAUACGAUCCUUGAAAUAACCUUAACAUGGCACCCGCUAUUAGGAAAUCUCUCAUUUUUUUAGAUGGAAAUUCUUCCAAUUGCUGUGCAUUUGAGAUGUAGAAUUACUAGCCUAUAACAAACAACUGAAUUCAAAUGCAAGGAGUUGAUAUUGUGAGAAAAUUUGAAUAAGUCAUUUGAGGACUAUUGCAUAAACAAAUGGAGUUAUGCGCAGUAUUAUUAUGACAGAAGAUUCUAAUAGAAAAA